rfam:Triticum aestivum genome assembly, contig: Triticum_aestivum_CS42_TGACv1_scaffold_289904_4AL
AAAAUACUCCCUCCGUUUGGAAUUACUUGUCACAAAAAUGAAUGUAUCUACAAUUAAAAUACAUCUAGAUACAUUCAUUUCUUGGACGAGUAAUUCCGAGCGGAGGGAGUAGCAC